GGGUGGGCUGAGAAUACUUUGGCAUAGGGGCUCAGCUUCUUUAAAAAGAUCAUUAGUUCUGUUGCCUCUGGCCACAUAGUUCUGUGUGUUGAUUGUGUCGAUAGUCUGCUGGUUGCUGCAUUGGGAUUAACACAGAAUGGAGUUUCCUCAUCUGGAACGUAUGAGGCUUCGGAGGUGUGACAGUGCAGCCUCGGUGCCUCAGUUCUGUAACUCUCCUACAGUGAUUGUGAUGGUGGGAUUACCUGCCAGAGGGAAGACGUACAUCUCCAAGAAGCUAACUCGCUACCUGAACUGGAUCGGGGUUCCUACAAAAAUGUUUAACGUAGGACAGUAUCGCAGGGAGGCUGUCAAGAUCUACAAGAACUUUGAGUUCUUUAAACCUGAUAAUGAGGAGGCCAUGAGGAUCCGCAAGGCCUGUGCAGCAGCUGCACUCAAGGACGUCAGUGCUUACUUCACAAAGGAGCAAGGACAAGUAGCCGUAUUUGAUGCUACCAACACCACAAGGGAGAGGAGGGCUGUCAUCAUUAGCUUGGCAAAGGAGAAAGGCUACAAGGUGUUUUUCGUAGAAUCUAUCUGUGAUGACCCAGAAAUCAUUGCAGAGAACAUCAAGCAAGUAAAAUCUGGGAGUCCGGAUUAUGUGGAUCGUGACAUAGAUGAAGCCAUGGAGGACUUUGUCCAGCGCAUUGAGUGUUACAAGGCAAGCUACAUGCCUAUAGAUGAUGAGAAAGACAGGAAACUCUCCUACAUAAAGAUCUUCGACGUGGGCAGCAGAUACCUGGUAAACCGAGUCCAGGACCACAUUCAGAGCAGGAUCGUCUACUACCUCAUGAACAUCCACGUCACACCGAGAUCCAUCUACCUGAGCCGCCAUGGAGAGAGUGAACUCAACCUGUUAGGUCGCAUUGGUGGAGAUUCAGGCUUAUCCCCUCGAGGACUAAAGUAUGCCAAUGCCUUGGCAGACUUCAUUAGAAGUCAGAAAAUCACUGACCUGAAGGUGUGGACAAGUCACAUGAAGAGGACCAUCCAGACUGCAGAGACUCUGGGAGUCCAGUAUGAACAGUGGAAGGCUCUCAAUGAGAUAGAUGCCGGUGUGUGUGAGGAGCUGACUUACGAAGAGAUUCAGGAGAAUUUCCCAGAGGAGUUCGCGCUGAGAGACCAGGACAAGUAUCGUUAUCGUUACCCCAAGGGCGAGUCCUACGAGGACCUUGUCCAUCGUCUCGAGCCGGUCAUCAUGGAGCUUGAGAGGCAGGAAAACGUUCUAGUUGUCUGCCACCAAGCUGUGAUGCGCUGUCUGCUGGCCUACUUCCUCGACAAACCUGCAGAUGAGCUGCCAUAUUUAAGAUGCCCCCUUCACACGGUGCUCAAACUCACUCCGAUAGCCUAUGGGUGUAAAGUCGAGUCAUAUUUCCUCAAUAUUGAAGCUGUCAACACACACAGAGAGCGGCCAACAGGCUGAGGAGCACUGCAUCUGUGUAGAUUCUCAGUGGCUCACCUGGUGGUAAUCCUAGAUUCGGGGAUUGAAGAAGCCUCUUGGAGGAGAGAAUGUCAACAUCAACAGAGACACAGAAGAAGCUCUGCAGACUGUUCCUGACCACGUCUAAAUAGUGUCUUAUGGGGAAAUGAACUUCAGUCAUGUGAAACUGGAUAAGUUGCUACUAAUAAGCUUCACUGAAUAUUAGUGAUGACUCCAGUGAAAUUCUGAUUGUGUGGAAACAGAAAGCUGGGGAAGCUUCAAAGUAGAAGAAGAGAGAUGGCAGAAACCUGAAAACAUCAACACAGAAGCACAUGGACUUCCCCCUGCAGUGACUGAAAAGCAUCUAACUUUUAGCUGCUUCUGUCUUCAAGAUGUCUGUGAAAUGUUCCUGUGUUUUAUUCUGACAGUAGGUGGUUUGCUUUUCUUGAAUUGUCCAAAUUGUUUACAGAUUAUUUACAGAAAAAAAAUGCACUGUCUUAAAGCAGAAACGAAGUACAAAUAUAGAGAAGUUUCCGUAACAUCCGAGGAUUUCAUACAUGUGUAAAUGCUGUAGAGAUAACAAACUGUGUUGUUGAUGUUUGAGUUGUUGCAUUAGGAAUCAGCACCAAGGACAGCACCCAAACAAACAAAGCAUGUAGAUUUGGACACUUUACUGUGACAGUGUGAUGCAGAUUACAUGGCAAUGUCCAAGUGAGUUUGACUGGAAAUAUGUAGAGAAAUAAUGUAAAGGAAGAGCUACAGACAGGUGACUAAUUACAGGAAAAAGCAACAUGAAAAAGAUGUUGGGCCACAAUGUGCAGCUAGAUUCUAAAAGUGUCUGGACUCUAUUGGAGGCAUCAGUAAGAAAUUAAAAACAAACUAGAAAUAUAGAUAAGGUACAAUGUUACGAUACACUACAUAACAAUAGCGAUGAGUGAAACAAACAGUGGUUGCACAUAUUGCAUAUAGGAAAUACUGAUAUUGCACAGAGGGUUUUUGAUGUUGCACAGAUUCUUUCAUGUGUAGAAAACAUUAAUAUUACACAGAUGUAUUCUGUAAUUGAAAUCUGCAGACCCAAACAGGCGGAGUGUAAUAAAUAGUAAAAUAACAAA